rnacentral:rRNA from 1 species
CAAUCAAACCGGGAGAUAGCUGGUUCUCCCCGAAAGCUAUUUAGGUAGCGCCUCGUGAAUUCAUCUCCGGGGGUAGAGCACUGUUUCGGCUAGGGGGCCAUCCCGGCUUACCAACCCGAUGCAAACUGCGAAUACCGGAGAAUGUUAUCACGGGAGACACACGGCGGGUGCUAACGUCCGUCGUGAAGAGGGAAACAACCCAGACCGCCAGCUAAGGUCCCAAAGUCAUGGUUAAGUGGGAAACGAUGUGGGAAGGCCCAGACAGCCAGGAUGUUGGCUUAGAAGCAGCCAUCAUUUAAAGAAAGCGUAAUAGCUCACUGGUCGAGUCGGCCUGCGCGGAAGAUGUAACGGGGCUAAACCAUGCACCGAAGCUGCGGCAGCGAACGUAUCACCCAAGACAACUUUACGGAGUUGACGAUUGACGGAGCGAAGCGACGUCAAAGCGUUCAUUAAAGUCGAGUUGGCUUAGGGAUACGUUCGUUGGGUAGGGGAGCGUUCUGUAAGCCUGUGAAGGUGUGUCGUGAGGCAUGCUGGAGGUAUCAGAAGUGCGAAUGCUGACAUAAGUAACGAUAAAGCGGGUGAAAAGCCCGCUCGCCGGAAGACCAAGGGUUCCUGUCCAACGUUAAUCGGGGCAGGGUGAGUCGACCCCUAAGGCGAGGCCGAAAGGCGUAGUCGAUGGGAAACGGGUUAAUAUUCCCGUACUUGGUGUUACUGCGAAGGGGGGACGGAGAAGGCUAUGUUGGCCGGGCGACGGUUGUCCCGGUUUAAGCGUGUAGGUGUGUGUUCCAGGUAAAUCCGGUUCACUUUAACACUGAGGCGUGACGACGAGGCACUACGGUGCUGAAGCAACAAAUGCCCUGCUUCCAGGAAAAGCCUCUAAGCAUCAGGUAACAUCAAAUCGUACCCCAAACCGACACAGGUGGUCAGGUAGAGAAUACCAAGGCGCUUGAGAGAACUCGGGUGAAGGAACUAGGCAAAAUGGUGCCGUAACUUCGGGAGAAGGCACGCUGACACGUAGGUGAAGUGAUUUACUCAUGGAGCUGAAGUCAGUCGAAGAUACCAGCUGGCUGCAACUGUUUAUUAAAAACACAGCACUGUGCAAACACGAAAGUGGACGUAUACGGUGUGACGCCUGCCCGGUGCCGGAAGGUUAAUUGAUGGGGUCAGCGCAAGCGAAGCUCCUGAUCGAAGCCCCGGUAAACGGCGGCCGUAACUAUAACGGUCCUAAGGUAGCGAAAUUCCUUGUCGGGUAAGUUCCGACCUGCACGAAUGGCGUAAUGAUGGCCAGGCUGUCUCCACCCGAGACUCAGUGAAAUUGAACUCGCUGUGAAGAUGCAGUGUACCCGCGGCAAGACGGAAAGACCCCGUGAACCUUUACUAUAGCUUGACACUGAACAUUGAGCCUUGAUGUGUAGGAUAGGUGGGAGGCUU